CCUACGGGGGGCAGCAGUGGGGAAUAUUGGACAAUGGGGGGAACCCUGAUCCAGCCAUGCCGCGUGUGUGAAGAAGGCCCUCGGGUUGUAAAGCACUUUCAGUGAGGAAGAACGCCUGGUGGUUAAUACCCAUCAGGAAAGACAUCACUCACAGAAGAAGCACCGGCUAACUCCGUGCCAGCAGCCGCGGUAAUACGGAGGGUGCGAGCGUUAAUCGGAAUUACUGGGCGUAAAGCGCGCGUAGGUGGCUUGAUAAGCCGGUUGUGAAAGCCCGGGCUCAACCUGGGAACGGCAUCCGGAACUGUCAAGCUAGAGUGCAGGAGAGGAAGGUAGAAUUCCCGGUGUAGCGGUGAAAUGCGUAGAGAUCGGGAGGAAUACCAGUGGCGAAGGCGGCCUUCUGGACUGACACUGACACUGAGGUGCGAAAGCGUGGGUAGCAAACAGGAUUAGAUACCCUAGUAGUC
rnacentral:rRNA from 1 species